rnacentral:rRNA from 1 species
UACAGAGGGUGCGAGCGUUGACCGGAAUCACUGGGCGUAAAGGGCGCGUAGGUGGCGACCCAAGUCAAUGGUGAAAGCUCGCCGCUUAACGGCGAGUCGGCCACUGAUACUGGGUUGCUUGAGCACUGUAGAGGCUAAUGGAAUUCCGGGUGUAGCGGUGGAAUGCGUAGAGAUCCGGAAGAACACCGGUGGCGAAGGCGGUUAGCUGGGCAGUUGCUGACACUGAGGCGCGACAGCGUGGGGAGCAAACAGG